UCGGUGAUGCAGCUAACGCAUUAAACAUUCCGCCUGGGGAGUACGGUCGCAAGAUUAAAACUCAAAGGAAUAGACGGGGACCCGCACAAGUGGUGGAGCAUGUGGUUUAAUUCGAAGAUACGCGAAGAACCUUACCUAGCCUUGACAUAUAUUAGAAUCUUUCAGAGAUGAGAGAGUGCCUUCGGGAGCUUUUAUACAGGUGCUGCACGGCUGUCGUCAGCUCGUGUCGUGAGAUGUUGGGUUAAGUCCCGCAACGAGCGCAACCCUCGUCACUAGUUACUAACGGUUCGGCCGAGGACUCUAGUGAGACUGCCUUCGCAAGGAGGAGGAAGGUGAGGACGACGUCAAGUCAUCAUGGCCCUUACGGCUAGGGCAACACACGUGCUACAAUGGCCAGGACAGUGAGACGCGAUACCGCGAGGUGGAGCAAAUCUAUAAACCUGGUCUCAGUUCGGAUUGUAGUCUGCAACUCGACUACAUGAAGCUGGAAUCACUAGUAAUCGUAGAUCAGCUAUGCUACGGUGAAUACGUUCCCGGGUCUUGUACUCACCGCCCGUCACACCAUGGGAGUUGAUUUCACCCGAAGCGGGGAAGCUAAACUGGCUACCCUCCACGGUGGAAUUAGCGACUGGGGUGAAGUCGUAACAAGGUA
rnacentral:rRNA from 1 species